rnacentral:tRNA from 1 species
GCGGGUGUAGUUUAGUGGUAAAACCUCAGCCUUCCAAGCUGAUGUCUUGGGUUCGAUUCCCAUCACCCGCUCCA